rnacentral:rRNA from 1 species
AUGAUUAUUAGCAUCAAAUCCGUUUUUGAUACGGGGUGGAAGGGGAUCCUGGCAUGCUAUAUUUGUGGUACAGAGAGAGGUCAUCCCUCGCCUUUGUUCUUGCCAGUGCAAUUUCGUCUGCUUUCUGUUCUUUCUACCAUCAGCCGUGAUCGAGGGAAGUGUGCUAUGGCGGGUCAUGGAGGGAGUGUGAGCAAUGUUUUGGGGAAAACACCUGCGAGUGGAGAGGGAUCGAGGGUGAUGACGGAUGCCACGGCUACUGAAUCCUCUCUCCACCAGCUGGGGAUGAAGGUGGCCACUGCCCCUUCCAUGACCCCUGAGAGUAAGGGGAAGUCGAUGCCGAGGCGCCCCCGUGGCGAUGGCUCGGCUCUGAUUAUCGACAUGGAGGCCGCGCGGAAGGCUAUCGGUGGAUCACGGGUGGUGGGGCGGCUUCUUUCGCCCUUCCAAGUGAACCCGCAGGUCAUCGUCGAUGAGCUUCGGGCUUGUUCAGCAUGGAGGCUGCACGGAACGGUCACAGUUCAAGAUGUGGCCAGCGAGGACGGGAGGUUCGUCCUGAACUUUUCCGCCGAGGAGGACCGGCGGUUCAUUUUGAAGGCCCAGCCAUGGCACCAUAAGCGUGAUGGAGUCAUCUUCGCCGAGUUCGACGGCAAGGGAAACCCAGCAGAGGUUGACCUUGGCGUAAUGCCAAUAUGGGUGCAGGUUCGUGAUCUAGAUUUUGAACUCAAAACUGAGCGCAUGGGCUGGACUUUAGGAGAACAAAUUGGGGAUGUGAUUGCUGUUUCCCAUAGAGAUCACUUAAUUGUAGAGAAAUAUCUGCGUAUAAGGGUGGAAAUCCCUCUGCAUGAACCUCUUAAGACAAGAGUAGAAUUCACUCCUUUGGGUAGUUCUGAGAGUGUUAAGUAUGAUGUUAGAUAUGAGAAACUUCCUUUGUACUGUGAGUGCUGUGGGAUUGUAGGACAUACCUGA